AUUUUUCAUUUUUCUAUAUUAACUGAAAGUUUAUACAACUAAUUCUCAAUUUCUUUACUACGUACUUACAGAAUAACGUUCUUGAGGAUUGUAACAAGGAAGGUUUUUUGGAUCUGGGACGUAUUUUUGUGGAUUUUUACGCAAAUGAUCGUAAUUCAUUUUCAAUUUGAUUGAUUGUGUUUGUAGCUUUUCAAACAUGGACAUUAGUUCGAACAACAUGCAACUUUUGCUGACAGGUUUUCUGUUCAUAAGUAGUAUCUCUUCAUUAACCUUGAAGACCGAGGACGUAGUCUUUGAGGAGGGUGAUAAUAUUAUCCUUAACUGUACGUAUUAUAAAGAUAUACAAGAACACAUCCUCAGCGGAGGUAUCAGAUGGCAGAAACAAAUAGACGAUUACUUUAAAGAUAUAGCGCUGUAUUCGCCUCCUGGUGGUCUAUAUCCUUUCUUUGCUAAGGAAAUGUGGCCUCUUUACAUGAACAGGACAAAACUCAUGGCACCAAACAUCUCACUCUCUGCUGUAAUGAAUAUAGAGGACCCUAUAUGUAGUGACCAAGGAGUUUACCGAUGCUGGAUAAAAUACUUAUCCGAUAAUUCAGUAAAAUUACAAACCAGUGGCUCUGUUGUAAAAUUUAAAUGUAGUUACUCAUUCUUGAUCAUUCCUUAACAAUUCCAAUAAUUCAUAUUUUUACAAUUUAAACUCUUGCAAAAUAAAAAAAAGUGCAUAUACUCUUGAUUGUUUUAGCCAACCCAAAAGAACCUGAGAAUUUUCAGUUGUUUCCAAACAAACUAGACGAGAAUCAGUCCAUUACUAUAUUAUGUAGUGCUAAUGUCGGAAAUCCGCUGGGAAAUAUAAAGAUCUGGAAAAUAUCCCAAUACAAUGAUGCACCUGUACUGAUACAAGAAUCCAAAGCUACAACAAAUAAAGCAGAAAAUUGUACAGAAUUUAUAAAUGUUAACUUUACUUACACUGUAACGAGAGACGACAAUGAAGCUUUAUUCCGAUGUUCAUCACAAAACAACUUUACCCAAGGCCCAGGACCUUCCAUGGAUUCCUUAAAGAUUUCUGUGAUUUGUCUGUUUAUUUUUCAUUACUUUGAGUUAUAUUUGAUUACGUUAUUGUCAUCUGUUUCUUGCAUAAUACAAACCCAAAUCGUCUCAAGCUAUCUUGAAACAUGUUUUGAGAGUCAAUUGAUAUAUGCAAGUAUUUCUCUUUGUAUAAACUUAACUACCAAAGCCAAAAAGUGUUAAAACUGUUAAUUUUCAGUUAUUCUUGUUUUAAAAUGAAUGGAAAAUCAUAUAUUUUAAGUAACAAAACAAACAAUGUAAGAUUUGAGAGCUGAGGCUGGAUAAAUAUCAUAUAUUUGCAAGAAUUGUCCACGUUUUAAUAAUCUAAAUCAACUGUUGAAUUUCUAGUAUAAACUGUUAACGAGAGGAGCUAAUAUUUAAAUGCUGAUUACAAAACAACAAUAAUUUAAAUCAUAAUUCCAAUGAGAUGGAAUUGUAAAAUAUUCUUUUUAUCAGUUUCAAAAUUCAAGGAAGUAAAUUCUUUUCUUUUUUUUCAAAUGGGUUUAUAAUUUUAUAUUUUCAAUUACAGAUGGGCCUGAUAAGCCUGUCAUCACUUUGACUCCUUUCAAGUCUUUUCUAUUUUGUUGGAGAUUACCUCACGAUCCAGUGUUUUACUGAUAGUAACCCGCCACCUGUUUUCACGUGGAAAUUUCAGCCUCACAACAAAUCUUUAGAAACCGUGAUCAAAAUUGCAACGCUAGUGUUUGGUAGCCUUCAAAUUACCGAUUCUGGGACUUACAGUUGCAUGGCAACCAAUGCAGAUGUACCAAAUUCUGCGAAUGUGACCUCUUCUGUUUCCUUAUAUGUGAGGCAUUCUGAGAUAGGCAACCAGGGCUGUAAUUAGUGUGGAUAUCUGAAAGUAUGUCAGCAAUAUGAUGGAAAGACUGUGUGUGUCACCAACAAAUGGGUUCCUAUUGCAAUAGUGUUUAUCCUCAUCAGUGUUUCAUUUGCAGCUGCUUCGAUCGUUUUGAUCAAGAAUAAAAGUGCCUCAGAAGACGACGGGGGGUACCAGGCACACGCGGAAAUUGUCAACACGCACGUGUGAGUAUAUUCAGCAUUACAAUCUCACCAACCGGAAACUGGGGUUUAUACAUCGUUACAAUCUCACCAGCCAGAAACUGGGGUUUAUACAUCAUUACAAUCUCACCAGCCAGAAACUGGGGUAUAUACAUCGUUACAAUCUCACCAGCCAGAAACUGGGGUAUAUACAUCGUUACAAUCUCACCAACCGGAAACUGGGGUAUAUACAUCGUUACAAUCCCACCAGCCAGAAACUGGGGUAUAUACAUCGUUACAAUCUCAGCGACCAGAAACUGAUGAAUAUACAUCGUUACAGUCUCAGCGACCAGAAACUGGGGAACAUGCAUCGUUACAAUCUCACAAACCGGAAUAUACAUCAAUUGACAACGCAUCGUGAUUUUUAACUAGGUUUGAGAGGACAGGUAGUGCGUUUUAUGCAAAUGUAACUAUAUUGUAUUAUUUGGUAAUUGUUUUAUCAACGUCAUUACAGCAUAAUGACAGAUACAUACCAAUGCAAUUUGUAAAUAAAAAAUCAAUUUUU
rnacentral:misc_RNA from 1 species